UCUCAAGGUGUUUGCCUAUCUUUUCUUAUUUCACAGUAAACUCAUUUCUUCCAGGAGGAGAAACUGGGUUGUUUGAACUAAGGAAUCCUAUCUGUACUGGAGCCUGGUCUCCUCCGUGAACACCAAGUUUUGAACACCAAGACAUCUGGCUGCUGGGAUACAGUCUAGGCUCACAGGAAAUGAUUCAUCAAUAUCUCGAACUGCUCCUUAGGCCAGAGCUUGGGACAUCAAAAAGAGACAAUGCAGAGAGGGAGGGAGAUUCUACCCUGAAAGAAGUGUCCUGCAGCUUUGACUCAGCAGAGAAAACUUAAGACCAGGUGCAUUCAAUUUGGAAAGAAAACUCAUUACUAAGCUUGAGGGCAGACUAACCAGGUGUGAAGAGAUCUUCCAUCAAGUCUUCAGAUGAGGACUGGAACCCAUCUGGAGAAGUUCUAGCUUCAUACGAGUAAGUGAGCAAAAAUUGGUAGUGGGAUG
rnacentral:lncRNA from 1 species